CGGACGGGUGAGUAAUGUCUGGGAAACUGCCUGAUGGCGGGGGAUAACUACUGGAAACGGUAGCUAAUACCGCAUAAUGUCUACGGACCAAAGCGGGGGACCUCCGGGCCUCGCGCCAUCAGAUGAACCCAUAUGGGAUUAGCUUGUAGGUAAGGUAACGGCUUACCUAGGCGACGAUCCCUAGCUGGUCUGAGAGGAUGAUCAGCCACACUGGGACUGAGACACGGCCCAG
rnacentral:rRNA from 1 species